rnacentral:lncRNA from 1 species
AAAGCCUACUGAUGGCUGAUGCGAAAUGUUCUGUGAGUGACUGAAUAGAAAUGGAAAAUAACAUCAGCAUACCUUUUCUUGGAACUGGAUUCUCUCUGGCCUUCAGAAUCACCAAAUGAAGCAUCAAGUUCCGCACUAGUAAAAGACUCGCAAAUUGACAAAAGUAAGUAGGCGACAACAGAAAAACAAGAAUAAAACAAAAGCAGGAGAAACAGAUGGAUGAAUGCCAACUGAUAAUUAUUGAUAACAGGAAGCAAAAUGAAAUGUUAAAGAAGCCAAAUCGCUUAAGUCAUUGCAUGCAUUACUCAGUUAAGAACAGAAGUAGCAAAACAAGACUCCUCAGACCAUCAGGCCGAUUUUUUAUAUAUAUUUUAACCUCUAACUCUAAUGACUUGUCGUCAAACUAGUGUAAUACUUAGCUCCGAUUAAUCAUCAACUUGAUCUUCAGACGCUACCCUAGUUACAAUAACAGCAAAAC